rnacentral:rRNA from 1 species
AACGAACGCUGGCGGCAUGCCUAACACAUGCAAGUCGAACGAGACCUUCGGGUCUAGUGGCGCACGGGUGCGUAACGCGUGGGAACCUGCCCUUAGGUUCGGAAUAACUCCCCGAAAGGGGUGCUAAUACCGGAUAAUGUCUUCGGACCAAAGAUUUAUCGCCUUUGGAUGGGGCCGCGUUGGAUUAGCGAGUUGGUAGGGGAAAAGCCUACCAAGGCGACGAUCCAUAGCUGGUCUGAGAGGAGGAUCAUCCACACUGGGACUGAGACACGGCCCAGACCGCUAGGGGAGGCAGCAGAGGGGAAUAUUGGACAAUGGGCGCAAGUCUGACACAGCAAUGCCGCGUGAGUGAUGAAGGCCGUAGGGUUGUAAAGCUCUUUUACCCGGGAUGAUAAUGACAGUAACGGGUGAAUAAGCUCCGGCUAACUACGUG